CUGGGUUCCCUGAUCUGAGAGUAUUUCUCGAGGAAACCCUACCCGGGAAAAGAUCCUGACUAGAGCCUCUGCUACUGUCUCUGCCUCAAUAUUGGAGAGCGCUACAGCCUCAGGGUACCGGGUGGCGUAAUCCACCACUGUGAGGAUGUAGCGCUUCCCGGAGGAGCUGGGUUUGCUGAGAGGCCCUAUCAGAUCUACUGCCACUCUGUAGAAUGGUUCCUCUAUUAUAGGUAGGGACCUUAACUUGGCCUUAGGGUGGUCCCCCCUCUUCCCUAUC